CAGUAACUUUCCUUCCCCAAAACCCACCUUCCUUCCCCAAAACCCACUACUUAGCAGCUUCAGGAAAAUCAAAGAAAGAAAUAAAGAAAAGAAAGGGAAGAGGGAAACAGAUCCACAGAGGAAGAGGAACGGGGAAGAGAGAGAGAUCUGAGGGGAGAGGGAGACCGUGACUGGCGCCGCCGCUGCCUCGCCCAGUUGCCGUGCUUCUCAUCGUCGCCGCCGAAGGGAAGAGGGAGAGAGAGCGCCGUCGAACAGAACGCGAGAAGGGAGAGGAGCUGUGUUCUGUUGUUGACGUUGCACCACCGCCACGCCGUCGUUUGUGCUCGUCGCCGUCGAGGGUCCAUCCACGCCGUCGCUGGAGCCUGAACACCACUGCAACCACCGCGUGUUAUUAUCUUCAGAUCCGCCGCCGUUUGAGUCGCGAACAGGGGAACGCGCGCGAAGGAAACCGUCGCAGAGCUACCGUCGCCGCCGUGUUGAUGGGCUCGCCGUUGUUCUGCUCGCGUGGCUGCUGCGUUGCCGAAGCUCCUCGUCGCUGCUGCUGGCGUCAGAAAUCGCCUUUCAAGCCAAUAUCUGUUGGGAGGAGUCCGAGCAAGAAAAGGAAGAAGGUGGCGAUGGAUACCUCCACUGCUGCUGUUGUUACUAUCGGUGUUCUGGAGCUUGUAGUUACUGCCAUUUUUGGGUGAUGAACCUAGCUGUGUCCUUGCUGCUGAUUGAUUGUAGUGAGAGACGUUGUAGCCAUUACUUUUUAUCUUGAGUCACCAUUGUCAUAUCUCGGUGCUGCCGCCCUUGUUUGGAACAACAGAAUGUUGUCUCCGCCACUGUCGAUUUAUCUAUUGCAAAGUCAUAAUUGAUAAUGGAGCUGCUAAGAUUGCUGCUACUGCCAUGAACUGGGGAUAAAAGGGGUUAUUGAGUUAAAUUCUGUGAUUGAGACAUUGAGGUAGGGGUUUUUCUUAAAAUCUAAUUUAUAUUACAGAGUUGUGAUAAAUAGAUAUUAAUGUGAGAGAACAUAUGCCUGUGAUUAAAAUUGCCUUCUAAAUGUGGUUGUUUGCUGGACUGAAUGACUGAUUGCUUGACUGCUUGAGUAGUUUGUGAUUGCUGAAAAGAAAUUAGUUUGAGAGGUUAUUUAGUUGAUUAUUAUGAGAAAUGGCUUUUCUUGGUUUUGAAGUUAUUUUUGAUGAUGUAAAGGAAUUGACUUUGGAAAUGGUUUAAUUUUGAGUUAGUGACUUUAUAAAUGAUUUAGUAUUUGAGCUGGUUUGAUUUUAAAAAGAGAUUUAUUACGGGCACUGAUUCACUUUGAAAAUUAUUUGAUAUUGGAACUAGCCGAAUCUGGGAAAAUGAUCGAGGUUUUGAAAAGGUUUGAGAAAUGUUUGGAUGGGACCCGAAAAGGGUGGCAGAAUCCGAGUUUUAGAGGAGAUGCUGCCGAAAUUUUAUAAAAUUAGAAGUUUCAUUUGAAGUAGUUAUUUUAAAAGGUUUAGUUUUAAGCAUUAUAUGAUUUAAGAAUACUUCAUUUAUCAAAGAAAAAGUUAUGUUUUGGAUUGAGAAUUGUUAAUGAACGAAACAGAAAGAAGAAUGACGAGGAUUGAUUUGAAAUAUGAUUUUUGAAUGAAUUUGGAAAUGGAUGUGGAUUGACGAAUGAUGAUGACAUUA